rnacentral:ncRNA from 1 species
GAAUUGAUCAGUUAUUAUUCUGAUUUGGAAAUGCUUUUCUAUGUAUAACAACAAUAACAAUAAAAGUUCGAAGCAAUUCUGACGUGCAAAUCGAUCGUCUGAUUUUGAUAUAAGGACGAAAGACUAAUCGGACAAUCCACUAGUUCCUUCCCUCAGAAAUUUCGCUCAGAAUAGUUGGAGUACGUAAUGAAGCUGUUAUAUUCGGUAAAGCGAAUGAUUGGAGGAAU